rnacentral:tRNA from 1 species
GUAUAGUUCAGUGGUAGAACAUGUGCUUUUGCAUGCAUGAGGACCUGGGUUUGAUCCCCAGCAC